UGGGGAAUUUUGGACAAUGGGCGAAAGCCUGAUCCAGCAAUGCCGCGUGUGUGAAGAAGGCCUUCGGGUUGUAAAGCACUUUUGUCCGGAAAGAAAUCCUUGGCUCUAAUACAGUCGGGGGGAUGACGGUACCGGAAGAAUAAGCACCGGCUAACUACGUGCCAGCAGCCGCGGUAAUACGUAGGGUGCAAGCGUUAAUCGGAAUUACUGGGCGUAAAGCGUGCGCAGGCGGUUUGCUAAGACCGAUGUGAAAUCCCCGGGCUCAACCUGGGAACUGCAUUGGUGACUGGCAGGCUAGAGUAUGGCAGAGGGGGGUAGAAUUCCACGUGUAGCAGUGAAAUGCGUAGAGAUGUGGAGGAAUACCGAUGGCGAAGGCAGCCCCCUGGGCCAAUACUGGCGCUCAUGCACGAAAGCGUGGGGAGCAAACAGGAUUAGAUACCCUGGUAGUCCACGCCCUAAACGAUGUCAACUAGUUGUUGGGGAUUCAUUUCCUUAGUAACGUAGCUAACGCGUGAAGUUGACCGCCU
rnacentral:rRNA from 1 species